GACGAACGCUGGCGGCGUGCCUAAUACAUGCAAGUCGAACGGUUUAGUUCCAAGAGGCUUGCCUUUUGGAACUAGACAGUGGCGGACGGGUGAGUAACACGUAGGCAACCUACCUGUCAAACCGGGAUAACCUCGGGAAACCGAAGCUAAACCCGGAUAAGCUCCUUUUUCGCAUGAAGGGGGAGUGAAAAGGUGCGACCUGAUGACAGAUGGGCCUGCGGCGCAUUAGCUAGUAGGUAGGGUAACGGCCUACCUAGGCGAUGAUGCGUAGCCGACCUGAGAGGGCGUACGGCCAGACUGGGACGGAGAUACGGCCCAGACUCCUACGGGAGGCAGCAGUAGGGAAUCUUCGGCAAUGGGCGAAAGCCUGACCGAGCAAGGCCGCGUGAGUGAGGAAGGCCUUCGGGUUGUAAAACUCUGUUGUUUGGGAAGAAGGGAAAGGGUAGGACCCUUAGGUGACGGUACCAAACGAGAAAGCCCCGGCUAACUACGUG
rnacentral:rRNA from 1 species